CCUACGGGUGGCAGCAGUGGGGGAUAUUGCACAAUGGGGGGAACCCUGAUGCAGCGACGCCGCGUGGGUGAUGGAGUGCUUCGGCAUGUAAAGUUCUAUCGGCAGGGACGAAGCAAGACGGUACCUGACUAAGAAGCACCGGCUAACUACGUGCCAGCAGCCGCGGUAAUACGGAGGGUGCGAGCGUUAUCCGGAAUCAUUGGGCGUAAAGGGUGCGUAGACGGCCAUGUAAGCCUGGGGUGAAAGCCCGGGGCCCAACUCCGGUACGGCACUGGGAACUGGGCGGCUAGAGUGUGGGAGGGGCAGGGGGAAUUCCUGGUGUAGCGGUGAAAUGCGUAGAUAUCAGGAGGAACACCGGCGGCGAAGGCGGCCUGCUGGACGGCGACUGACGUUGAGGCUCGAAAGCGUGGGGAGCGAACAGGAUUAGAUACCCGAGUAGUC
rnacentral:rRNA from 1 species